CUCCUACGGGAGGCAGCAGUGAGGAAUUUUCCGCAAUGGGCGAAAGCCUGACGGAGCAAUGCCGCGUGGAGGAAGACAGCCUGUGGGUCGUAAACUCCUUUUCUCAGAGAAGAAGUUCUGACGGUAUCUGAGGAAAAAGCAUCGGCUAACUCCGUGCCAGCAGCCGCGGUAAU
rnacentral:rRNA from 1 species